AUUGAACGCUGGCGGCAUGCCUUACACAUGCAAGUCGAGCGAGUGAGUUCUUCGGAACGAUCUAGCGGCGGACGGGUGAGUAACACGUGGGCAACCUGCCUCAUAGAGGGGAAUAGCCUCCCGAAAGGGAGAUUAAUACCGCAUAAAAUUAUCGAGUGGCAUCACAUGAUAAUCAAAGGAGUAAUCCGCUAUGAGAUGGGCCCGCGGCGCAUUAGCUAGUUGGUGAGGUAACGGCUCACCAAGGCGACGAUGCGUAGCCGACCUGAGAGGGUGAUCGGCCACAUUGGGACUGAGACACGGCCCAGACUCCUACGGGAGGCAGCAGUGGGGAAUAUUGCACAAUGGGGGAAACCCUGAUGCAGCACCGCCGCGUGAGUGAUGAAGGUCUUCGGAUUGUAAAGCUCUGUCUUUGGGGACGAUAAUGACGGUACCCAAGGAGGAAGCCACGGCUAACUACGUGCCAGCCGCCGCGGUAA
rnacentral:rRNA from 1 species